rnacentral:lncRNA from 1 species
AUUUGUUUUACAAGUUUUCAGGUAUAUUUAUUAAUCAUUUUCCAAUGUCAAAACUUCAUUGAUUCUUCAAUUUUGUACAUUUGACACUUCCUUAAUGCUUUACAUUGCAGGACCACCCUCUUCCAGUUUCAUUUCCACCAAUAGCUUUCAUUUCUCCACUUUUGUUUCUUCCAACGGCUUCAAUGCUUCAUGUUAACUAUUAUAGGAUUUGGAUGCAAUUUUGAUUUUUUUGGAUGACUGUAAUAUUUGGCAACUAAGACCAGGAUUUGAGUAGUAUUUAUAGUACAUUCAACUUGGCUCCAUUAUAAUAUUAAUCAUGCUUGUUGGUACUUUUGCAACCUCAUUUUAGUGACUUGUUAUCUGUACAGAAAUUCUAUAUUUCCUUAUGGGCA